AUGAUUAUAUCAGUGAUUUAUUGAUUCCAUUAUACCUAAAGCAGAGUUAAGUGUGCGAUAUCGUAUACGCGACGCAACUGGAUGUAUUUUACGACGUUGAUUGAGCCGGAUUCGGAAGUGUCACGUGUAAUUUUUUAUUGCGGUUUUUUCCCGAAAGAAUUCCGUUAACGCGAUUCAGUGCGAUGUUUAGGACGAAUUACAUAAUUUAUAUCGAUCGUAAUAUAUAUCGGUAUGUGUCAGAAAACGUAUAAUGUGUUUUUCUC